UACGUAGGUGGCAAGCGUUGUCCGGAAGUACUGGGCGUAAAGAGCGCGCAGGCGGUCGUUCAAGUCGCGUGUGAAAGCCCCCGGCUCAACUGGGGAGGGUCACGCGAUACUGAUCGACUCGAAGGCAGGAGAGGGAAGUGGAAUUCCCGGUGUAGUGGUGAAAUGCGUAGAUAUCGGGAGGAACACCAGUGGCGAAGGCGACUUCCUGGCCUGUUCUUGACGCUGAGGCGCGAAAGCUAGGGGAGCAAACGGG
rnacentral:rRNA from 1 species